UCUGCAGUCCCCCGUGCACGGCUUGCUUUCUAAGAGUCACGUUCCUUGGGAUUGGAGCGCAAAUUGGGUGGUAAAUUUCAUCUAAAGCUAAAUAUUGGUUCGAGACCGAUAGCAAACAAGUACCAUGAGGGAAAGGUGAAAAGGACUUUGAAAAGAGAGUUAAAAGUGCCUGAAAUUGCUGAAAGGGAAGCGAAUGGAACCAGUUUUUCUUGGCGAGAUUGUUGCGUGCUAAUGUGAUGGCUUGUUGCUUCAACGCAAGUGUUGCAGCGGGUUUUGAUCUGGACGUGCGCGGUGCUUCUUGCCUUGGGUGUCAACGUCGGUUCAGACUUGAGGAAAACUCCAGGGACAUGGUUAGUCACUUCUGGGUGACUGAACGUGCUUGGCAGAACUCAUUUCUGAACUGAAUUCCGCAUGUCUGGUCGCAGUGCUUUCACUUCCUGGACUUUGUUCACUGCUCUUAAGUGGGCCUCUGUGCAUGGGACAGGACGUGGGGCAUCUCCCUGACAUCAGUACGAUGACAAAAUGGUUUUAUUCGACCCGUCUUGAAAC
rnacentral:rRNA from 1 species